GGUAUGAGUAGCGAGAGGCAUGCGAGAAACAUGCCCGUCGAAAGCCCAAGGUUUCCUGGGGAAGGUUCAUCCGCCCAGGGUAAGUCGGGGCCUAAGCCGAGGACGGAAGUCGUAGGCGAUGGACAGCAGGUGUAGAUUCCUGCACUACCGAUGGAAUGAAGCAGUGACACAGAAGGAUAACUCGAGCAGGGUGAUGGUCAACCCUGUGCAAGCAUCAAGGUUGGGUUGUAGUGAAGUACGCAACCCUAUAAGCUGAGGUGUGAUGCGGACCGAAAUUUCAGUAGGGAAGCGAGUGAGUUCACGCUGGCGAGAAAAGCUGCUAGUACAUCCAAAGGUACCCGUACCGGAAACCGACGCAGGUGGGCGAGGAGAGAAUCCUGAGACGAACGGGAGAACCCUUGUUAAGGAACUCGGCAAAAUGACCCCGUAACUUCGGGAUAAGGGGUGCCUGCGAGAGCAGGCCGCAGAGAAUAGUCACAAGCGACUGUUUAGCAAAAACACAGGUAUCUGCGAAAGCGAGAGCUGACGUAUAGGUGCUGACACCUGCCCGGUGCUGGAAGGUUAAGGGAACAUGUUAGAGCAAUCGAAGCAUCGAACCGAAGCCCCAGUAAACGGCGGCCGUAACAAUAACGGUCCUAAGGUAGCGAAAUUCCUUGUCGGGUAAGUUCCGACCCGCACGAAUGGUGUAACGACUUGUGAGCUGUCUCAACAGGGGGCCCGGUGAAAUUGAAGUAUGGGUGAAGAUGCCCAUUACCCGCGACUGGACGGAAAGACCCCGUAGAGCUUUACUGCAGCCUGAUAUUGAGUUUCGGUAACUGAUGCACAGGAUAGGUGGGAGUCUGAGAGACAUGGGUUUCGGCUCAUGUGGAGACGGUGUUGGGAUACCACUCUUCGGUUACUGAAAUUCUAACAUAGCUCUGUGAAACCAGAGGAUGGACAGUGUCAGGUGGACAGUUUGACUGGGGCGGUCGCCUCCGAAAGAGUAACGGAGGCGCCCAAAGGUACCCUCAGAAUGGAUGGAAACCAUUCGAAGAGCGCAAAGGCAGAAGGGUGCCUGACUGCGAGAUUGACAAAUCGAGCAGAGACGAAAGUCGGGCUUAGUGAUCCGGCGGUAUUGAGUGGAAAAGCCGUCGCUUAACGGAUAAAAGCUACCUCGGGGAUAACAGGCUGAUCUCCCCCAAGAGUCCACAUCGACGGGGAGGUUUGGCACCUCGAUGUCGGCUCGUCGCAUCCUGGGGCUGAAGCAGGUCCCAAGGGUUUGGCUGUUCGCCAAUUAAAGCGGCACGCGAGCUGGGUUCAGAACGUCGUGAGACAGUUCGGUCCCUAUCCAUCGUGGGCGUAGGAGUCAUGAGAGGAGCUGUUCCUAGUACGAGAGGACCGGAAUGGACGCACCACUGGUGCAACUGUUGUCGUGCCAACGGCAUAGCAGGGAAGCGAAGUGCGGAUGGGAUAAACGCUGAAGGCAUCUAAGCGUGAAGCCCACCUCAAGAAUAAGACUCCACAAUAGACCCCUGGAGGACUACCAGGUAGAUAGGUCAUCGGUGGAAGCGCUGUAAGGCGUGUAGCUUGAUGAUACUAAUCGGUCGAAAGCUUCAGU
rnacentral:rRNA from 1 species